CACGAACUGGCUCACUCUGUGAUUCUCCAACCUCAGGAUUUCCCCUUUCUAGGGGUUCUUCACAAGCUCCUGGGUCAGAGAAGGGCUCAGGGGCUGGGAGCAUGCCUCUGGACUGACCAGAAAACCUCCCAAUGGCAGGUUCUUAUCAUAAAUGAUCAUGUGGACUGGGAAGCCAAGCAAGCACCUCUCCUUCCUGGUAAAUGGUGGUGGUGUGGCAGACUGCGGCCCUUCCAGGGGGAGAACCACCAGCAGCUCCUGAGAUCCACACCAUGUUGGAAUUUAGGACACCGGGAAGCCAAGCACACACUGCCCCUCCCUGGUAAGUGGUGGCGGUGUGGCAGACUGCAGCCCUUCCAGGGGAAGAACCACCAGGAGCUCCUGAGAUCCCCACUAUGUUGGAACUUAGGACACCAAGAAACCAAGCAAGCAUCUCCCCUCCCUGGUAAGUGGUGGCAGUGUGGCAGACUACAGCCCUUCCAGGGGGAGAACCACCAGCAGCUCUUGAGACCCAUGCCAUGUUGGAACUUAGGAUGCUGGGACACCAAACAACCAGCCUGCCUUCCUGCUAAGCAAUAGUGAACCUACUGAUGCACGGCCUAGAGUCAAACAUCCCACUUCCCUUACCCCUUUUUCCUGUCCCCCCCGCCGUUAGCAAAUGGGAACCAGAAAUCUGAGCAUCUCCUAGGAGGUUGAUCAUAGCAAAUAAGGGGACUUCCUUCUACCAUCUCUUUGAAGGCAAAUAUUUUUAUUACUGUUUUGCUCUAUUCUGAUUAAUGGUACUGCUCUAUUCAAUAUUCUGUUUUGUAAGUUCUGUAAUGUUUUGUAUUUCAUCUCAUUUUGAUAUAUGUGAUUGAAAGAAAGAUAAAUUAUAUUAUAAUAUUAUAAAGAUAAUGAAAUAAAAAAAGAAAUGUU